rnacentral:rRNA from 1 species
UGCAAGUCGAGCGGUAACAGAUCUAGCUUGCUAGAUGCUGACGAGCGGCGGACGGGUGAGUAAUGCAUAGGAAUCUGCCCGGUAGUGGGGGAUAACCUGGGGAAACCCAGGCUAAUACCGCAUACGUCCUACGGGAGAAAGGGGGCUUCGGCUCCCGCUAUUGGAUGAGCCUAUGUCGGAUUAGCUAGUUGGUGAGGUAAUGGCUCACCAAGGCAACGAUCCGUAGCUGGUCUGAGAGGAUGAUCAGCCACAUCGGGACUGAGACACGGCCCGAACUCCUACGGGAGGCAGCAGUGGGGAAUAUUGGACAAUGGGCGCAAGCCUGAUCCAGCCAUGCCGCGUGUGUGAAGAAGGCCUUCGGGUUGUAAAGCACUUUCAGCGAGGAAGAACGCCUAGGGGUUAAUACCCNNUAGGAAAGACAUCACUCGCAGAAGAAGCACCGGCUAACUCCGUGCCAGCAGCCGCGGUAAUACGGAGGGUGCGAGCGUUAAUCGGAAUUACUGGGCGUAAAGCGCGCGUAGGUGGCUUGAUAAGCCGGUUGUGAAAGCCCCGGGCUCAACCUGGGAACGGCAUCCGGAACUGUCAAGCUAGAGUGCAGGAGAGGAAGGUAGAAUUCCCGGUGUAGCGGUGAAAUGCGUAGAGAUCGGGAGGAAUACCAGUGGCGAAGGCGGCCUUCUGGACUGACACUGACACUGAGGUGCGAAAGCGUGGGUAGCAAACAGGAUUAGAUACCCUGGUAGUCCACGCCGUAAACGAUGUCGACCAGCCGUUGGGUGCCUA